rnacentral:rRNA from 1 species
AGUGAACGCUGGCGGUAGGCCUAACACAUGCAAGUCGAACGGCAGCACAGAGGAGCUUGCUCCUUGGGUGGCGAGUGGCGGACGGGUGAGGAAUACAUCGGAAUCUACUCUGUCGUGGGGGAUAACGUAGGGAAACUUACGCUAAUACCGCAUACGACCUACGGGUGAAAGCAGGGGACCUUCGGGCCUUGCGCGAUUGAAUGAGCCGAUGUCGGAUGAGCUAGUUGGCGGGGUAAAGGCCCACAAAGGCGACAAUCCGUAGCUGGUCUGAGAGGAUGAUCAGCCACACUGGAACUGAGACACGGUCCAGACUCCUACGGGAGGCAGCAGUGGGGAAUAUUGGACAAUGGGCGCAAGCCUGAUCCAGCCAUACCGCGUGGGUGAAGAAGGCCUUCGAGUUGUAAAGCCCUUUUGUUGGGAAAGAAAUCCAGCUGGCUAAUACCCGGUUGGGAUGACGGUACCCAAAGAAUAAGCACCGGCUAACUUCGUGCCAGCCGCCGCAGUAA